rnacentral:rRNA from 1 species
AAGCAGUAGGAGCUCGAAAGAGUGACUGCGUACCUUUUGUAUAAUGGGUCAGCGACUUACUGUUCGUGGCAAGCUUAACCGUAUAGGGGAGGCGAAGGGAAACCGAGUCUGAUAAGGGCGCAUAGUCGCGGGCAGUAGACCCGAAACCGGGUGAUCUAGUCAUGGCCAGGGUGAAGGUGCCGUAACAGGUACUGGAGGCCCGAACCCACGUCUGUUGCAAAAGACGGGGAUGAGCUGUGAUUAGGAGUGAAAAGCUAAUCGAACCCGGAGAUAGCUGGUUCUCCUCGAAAGCUAUUUAGGUAGCGCCUCAUAUGUAUCCUCUCGGGGGUAGAGCACUGUUAUGGCUAGGG